UACGGGGACAACAUUCCGAAAGGAGUGCUAAUACCGGAUGUGAUCAUCUUGCCGCAUGGCAGGAUGAAGAAAGAUGGCCUCUACAAGUAAGCUAUCGCUAAAGGAUGGGCCUGCGUCUGAUUAGCUAGUUGGUAGUGUAACGGACUACCAAGGCGAUGAUCAGUAGCCGGUCUGAGAGGAUGAACGGCCACAUUGGGACUGAGACACGGCCCAA
rnacentral:rRNA from 1 species